rnacentral:rRNA from 1 species
GAUGAACGCUGGCGGCGUGCCUAAUACAUGCAAGUCGAGCGAACAGACGAGGAGCUUGCUCCUCUGACGUUAGCGGCGGACGGGUGAGUAACACGUGGAUAACCUACCUAUAAGACUGGGAUAACUUCGGGAAACCGGAGCUAAUACCGGAUAAUAUAUUGAACCGCAUGGUUCAAUAGUGAAAGACGGUUUUGCUGUCACUUAUAGAUGGAUCCGCGCCGCAUUAGCUAGUUGGUAAGGUAACGGCUUACCAAGGCAACGAUGCGUAGCCGACCUGAGAGGGUGAUCGGCCACACUGGAACUGAGACACGGUCCAGACGCCUACGGGAGGCAGCAGUAGGGAAUCUUCCGCAAUGGGCGAAAGCUUGACGGAGCAACGCCGCGUGAGUGAUGAAGGUCUUCGGAUCGUAAAACUCUGUUAUUAGGGAAGAACAAAUGUGUAAGUAACUAUGCACGUCUUGACGGUACCUAAUCAGAAAGACACGGCUAACUACGUG